ensembl:lncRNA
CGCUUUUAAUAUUUUAUUAAAUCAGAUAGAGAAGGAACAAUUUACAUACAUAAAUAAACAAUCAAUCAAAUAAAUAAUAAAUAAAUAAAUAAAUGUACAAGAUGUAUUCUCUAGUCUCGUUUUAAUUGUCUUUAUUACAUCUGUGUAGUGUUUUAGUGAGUUAGGAGAAAUGACUGAAGGUCAUCUCAUAAUCAAUAUAUAAAAAAGCAAAACAUCACCUAAACAGAAUAAAUAUUAAUAAUUAAUAACGGAAACCAUUAGGACUGUUAAUUGUCGUGGAAAUUAGACAACACUCGCGGACUCGUCCUCUGAGUUUCCAAACUGUCCCCAAAUCAUGUACUACCUCAAAGGCGUAUCUACUGUCUGUGUAGAUAUUUACUGACUGUCCCUCAGCAGGUCUUCAUGCCUCUAUGAGGGCGUACAGUUCAGCUGGUUGUGCUGAAAGUUUUGAGGGGAGACUUCCUGACAGACCGUCUCGUGUGCGGUCACUACUCAUAACCCACUCGAUUUUUACCUGUCUCUGGGUCACAUGACGCUGACCCGUCCAUAAAGAGGAUCAAAUCUGGGUUUUCCAAUGGAACAUCCUUCAGGUCGAUUCUAGGGGAGCAGAGUUCAUUAGUCAGUACAACACAGUCAUGUGGUUCCCUGUCUCCCUCUGUUGGAAGAAGAGUAGCAGGGUUAAGGACAGUACGUUGUUUUAUAGUGACAUUUGGCAUGUCUAAUAGUACAGUGUUAUGGUGCAGCCAUCAUUGGGUGGACAGGUGUGAGGUUUUCUGUUCAAGUAGGAGUAACAACACCUCAUGUGGAACCAAGAGGAUCAAUUCUGAGUAACCUACCACCGACCGUCUCUGGAUGCCACCACAGCUUUCUCAGCUGCUGCUACUGCACGUACACACGGGGGAAACUCUGCAGUGACUCGGAUCCAACUUACCUGAGAACGAACUGUCCAACCUGUCGCAUAUGCCAUCUCUCUGAGCGGUGCUUCUAGAAUGGUAUAGUUUAGAAUGAAAGUUCUGCGAUACGAACACAUACAUAGGAUAGAGAGAACUUGUUUCUUCGUCAGAGGCUUGGGAAUCUUCUGGAUUGCAGAUACUCUUUCAGCGGAGAGUUUCUUUCCCUUUGCAGAAAUGUCAUGACCCAAGACUCUCACUUCUUGUUGUACAUACUGUAAUUUGGAGAGACUGGCUUUGUGUCCUUCUUAGGCAAGAUGCUGCAACAAUUUAAUGGUGUCAGUUUCUCACUGUGCUCUGGAGAAAGUGGUAGAGGUGCUAAGCUGUCCUUUAGCAUUUGGUUGUAUAUCGUUAGUGACUCUCAACAUCCCUAACACAAGUGAGUGAAAGUGUAAGGAUGUCCGUCAAAUAUGAAUGCAAACCGAAACUGUCUGUCUUUAUCAAGAGAAAUACUGAAAAAACGCAUUAACUAAAACUACGACUGAAAACCAUUCGCUAUUUGCUGGACCCUGGUUUAAUACAGUGUAAGAAUUUGGCACGUCUAGAGCUCUCUGUUUGACUGCUGCAUUAACCGCUUACAAAUCUUCUACAAAUCUCCAUUCGUCAGGUUGUAGGGUUUUUUUUUUUUUUGCUUCUCUCACUGGAAAUAUUGGGGUGCGCACUGACGAAUCAGGACAGGUAACAAUGACGCCUACCUUCAAUAAUGAAUUGAAAUCUGGUCCAAUCCCCUCAAUAGCUUCUGAUUUAAGAGGGUAUUGAGAUUGUCUGGGCCUAAAGUCAGAUUUGGGCGUGAUCACGACUGGCGGUGCACUUCUAAUCAGGCCUACGUCAUGUUUCCCUUGGGCCCACAGCCUGAGAGGCACCUUCUUCAAUUGUGGGUGUGUCUCUAGGGGUGUGGGGCUUGUCCCAAGGUUCAGAAACAUUCCCUUGUCAUGACAAAUAACAUCCCGGUUAACCUUGCACAUUUCCUGAAAGAAUUUUUUAUAAACUCCCAGCGUCGGGCUGUACCAUAUGUUGGAGGUGGGUUCAUGUUCCCAAUCUGUAAUUUUCCCACUCUCACAUAAUCUGACCCACAGUCCCACGUCUUUGUACUGUCUGUUCUUUAUUUUGGCUAAUGAGACAUGGGGCACGGAUUCUGGGACGAAAAAUGCACGCAACUGAGUGUCACUCAAUUUGACUGAACAUGCACAAAAUUUGUCACACCAAUAUUGGUACAGUUCUUCACUUUCUGGGAUAUCCAUAAACCACUCUUUCUCAAAUUAAAGUCUCUUCCUUCAUGCACUUGCGCUGUGCAAUGGAGGACAGAGGACAGCAUAAAAUCAACACAGUUGUCCUUCAUCUUAUCAUGUGCCAGUGUCAACAAACGAGCACAGGCUCUAGGCUCGUUAUGCAUGGACCAUUGAUAAACACAGAGCUCUGUUUCUCUAACAAAUGGAGUUCCCAAAGAUGAGUCAUCAGUUAUUGUUACUCCCUGAGGUGAGGAAAUCAAAUUUAAGUGUAAAACACACAUUAAGUCCCUGCCCAGUAGAUUGACUGGACAUGAAGACGAAAUUAGGUCUAAUACUGAAUGUCCCGUCACACCCAUGGAGUGCAGUGACCGUGAACUCGUUUUCGGGGAUUCUUUUAAUUCGCAGUGUUUUAUUACUGAAUACGUUGCUCCUGAAUCUACCAAAAAUGUGAUACUUUGUCCAUUAAUUACAAGAGAUAUACAUAGUAACUGUGUAAAAGGAGAGGCAUGAUACUUUAAAAAGGUUAAGGGUCAUGACUGGGUCAGACGUUUGUGAAUUGUCAGUCUGACUAAUGUUGGAUGUGGGUGUGUGCAUAUAUUCCUGUUCUUUGUGAGCUAACUGAUAAGAGGUGACAUCAGACACCCAAACUCUGUUCCCAGGUGCCUCACCCUUCCCUUAGCUCCGCCCAUCAGUCGGCUUCUGCUCUGGACAGUCUCUUGCAAAAUGUCCAACUUUUCCACAGAUAAAAGCUGUAAAGAUGUAUCUAUGGGGGUUGCUACCUGGCCUUCCUCAUCCGCGUCCUUUUGGUCUUUCUCUCCUCUCCAACUUUCUUUCCUUUGCCUCUCGUAGGUGCUUCUCCCCAUGGAUUGCAUAUCAUUCUACCUGAGUCAUAUUUCCAGUAUCCCAGGUAAUGCGUUGAUGUUUUACAAGAGCAACGAUAUCUGGUUUCAUACCAUUCCUGAAGCUGUUUCUGAGAUGUGCUACCCAUGCUGUGUCUUCGGCUGCUUGUCCAUCUGCGAGUGCUACUGGUCUUAAUUUGCAUCAUGGACUUCAGUGAGACGAGAUAGAUACUUUGCUAUUUUUGUCACGUCCAGGUGCACAGGAAAGGUGUUUGUCAGCCUCUGCUUGAACGCCGUGAUUUGUGCUCUGUACCUUGUGUUGACUCCAUCAGCCCACUGUGGGUUGAUCAGGCGGACAUCGUUCUCUGGGAAUUCAGGUGAAACCUUGACCCAGUCCGGGCCAAGUUUCGCCAUGAGCAGUCGUCGUAGUUCAUGAGUGGUGGGUCUGAAUUCUCAGAAGUUCAUCCCCAAACUUUUGUUGUCCUACUUCGUGGAGCACCGGCAAAUGCAUCAUGCUGCUCCUGAUGUCUUCCAAUAUCCAGGGUAUGUCAACUAGCAUAGGGCCUCCUCCUCUGGCCACCUCCAGCAUUGGGGCAUUUACCACGGCGUGCACUGUCCCUUCUCUGUCUGAUUUUGUUGGUCUGAAGCCCUCAGGCAGCAAUGCUGUUGGUCCAUUCACUUGGGAUCUCGUGUGUAACGCCACCGGUGAAGAUAGGACGGCUGGAGCAUAGUUCGGUGGGGGUUGGUGGAUCAGUUCUGACAGGUUCGGAUAGAGUGGUGUAGGCUGGGCCGCUUCAUCGUGAAGAGGUGCCUCUCAAACUGCAGGUUCCUCCCUCCUUCCUGGCUGUGGGUGUCAUGGUGGGGCGGAGUCCAGGUCGGGAUCGGCUUUCUGCAAUUUAGCACACUGCGAAACAGAUGAGGGCCCUGCCUGCCAUUUUUUCUCUCUUUUAUGUGCCUCACUCUGCCCUUCAGCAAAUGCCCUCCAGUCUGCCAAAAACUGUGUUUUUAAAAAAAAUUAUUUUAGAAAUAUCUCUCUUCUUUGCUUACAAAUUAAAUUUCUGUUGUUCUAACUGUCUGAGACUAAAACUACCUUUUUCCAGGAAAGCACAUUCUUUAACCCAUACAUCAUACUGGUUCAAACAUCCUUCCCCAUAAUUCACACGCAUAAAUGUGAUAUUAGGACCAACAUAUGAGUACCCUGUACAUACCAUAGCAUGUGGCUCAGGAUGUGCUUUUUCUCUUUUUUACACCUUCUAUAACUUUCAUUUUAAAGUUUUAAUCAAUUUAACAUGCUAUAAAAAUCAAGUGAAUAUGCAUUCUCAUGCACAGACAGAAAAAUUAAUCAUAUAACUUAUAGGUUCAAUAGAGCAAACCUUAAGAAUGUAAAAGAGUUUACCUGUGAGGGAGAGUCCACAUACAGCAAUUUGGUAGGACCUACUGUUUUCUCUUCCCUUCUUUUUUCUUAAUAAUUUAUUUUUUUAUUAUUAUUAUUAUUUUUUAUCUCAGUAAAAUUUACUUGUGCAUUAAAUUUGCCAAAUAUAUCAUGUACCGCUGAUAUGAUGGAAUGAGGCAUCCCACUUCAUAAUAACCCACCACAAAAAUACUGCGCUCCUUAAUAAGUACUCCGUUUAUUUAUUGCUCAAAACUGACUCUUCCCAUUAGCAAAUAUUUUUACCGUUAUUAUCUCUCUAAUAUUAAUAUACAUAUAUACACACACAUACACACCCGUCAGUAUAGAUCUUAAUUUUGAAGCUGUGAUCUAAGAAACACCAAUAUCUCUGCCGUCGCAGAGGCGAAGUUCCUGGAUGUUCCCUUCCAUAGAGACAGCAAUACACAUUGACUUCAUAAAAUUCUCAUUCUAAAUUCUUGAUGAUUCCUACCGGUCAGUGGUAAGGCUGCAUCAGUCUUUCACUUUACACAACAAAGGGCAAACCGCCUGCGUGCGAACACGGACUUCAGGGUGAAAACUUUUCCGCGAGCGUCCUCUGGUUUGCUUGUUGUCCAGAAAAGCUGAAAGACUCGUGCAGUCCAGCCAGGAGACGCCAAAUUGUUGGGAAAAUUAGACAACACUCACAGACUCGUCCUCUGAAGGUAAAAAGGUUUAUUACAGAAAGAUGGUUAACACAGGAUAGAAUAAAGCAGGAUAGAAUAAUGAGAACGCUCUGAAACCCUUGUACUAAACCACUACUAUAUAUAUAUAUAUAUAUAUAUAUAAGAAACGCAGAGUAUGACACACUCCUGUGUACCGAUAAGAAGCAGUUUGAGGCAGUUCAAACAGGCUUUGUUUUAGGAUCUUGGAAGAUGUUUAGACGAACCUUGAACAGAAGAACAUGUUUGUGUCUCUGUAAGCAGAUAAACAUUCUGUACUGAUCUCAGUGACAUGACGUGGCCUUCUUAGGCGUUAUCCUCAGAUGAGAAUGAAACAGAACAAGAACAAUACUAUUACAAAGUAAAAAUGAAUAAUUUCCCUCACAUAACAUAAUUACAAACUAUUUAAGGCAAUCAGGGAAAUGUGUUUGUCUAAACAAUUAAAUAAAGAAACGGGUAUAGUUUUAAUCCCAGACAUACAGUCAAAGGUAGAAGAGUAGCUCAUUAUGGAUGGCUGUGUUGCAUUUAAUUAAAUAGAAAAGACAUGACUCUCUCAAUUGACAAGUGUUUGUACUAUAAAACCUCAGUUUUGUCCCUUUCUCAGAGAACAUAAGAUUUUAAAAACAACCCCCACACACACAUUUCAAUAUUUAACACAGGAAAUAAAUAAAAAAGAAUAUUUCAGAAUAGAAAUUAAAUACACCUCACUCUAAAAAAAUAAAUAAAACGCAGACAAUGGAAUUGGCUUGUGUUUUAAUUGUUUUGUUGGCGGUUGAAUGAGUGAAAAGGUGUUUAUGUAAGAAGAGGGCGAGAAACGACAGCAGCAAGUUUCAAAACUCUGAUUUAAAACCAAAACAGGAAAUUCCCUCCUACUAAAUGUUUCCUUCUGACUUUUACCCAAAUCAGGCGUGAAAUGUGAACUCAGUACAAACUGUAAGAAGAGGCUUUACAUCAAUGACACGUACAGAAAUAAACACGUUUUCACUCGGCAACAAAAAAGCGACUUUAUUAUCUAUUAUUAAAGACCUCAGACCAGUCAAUUGAAUUAAACAGGUUUAAAAUGUUGCAUUAAUGUUUGUUUGUUUUUUCAAAACACAAAGUUGUUAAAUUUCUAAUCUAACGUUCAGAAUGUAAAUAAACAACAUGAAUCUACUGUAAUCUUAACUAAACUCAUUUUAAAAUAACAUUAAUAUGCACAAUGAUGCAAAUUACAGUUUAACAUACUAUAAAACAAAAAAUCUUAUUUUAGUACACAUUUACAAGCCUAAUAUGUAAAUUUACUGUUUAUACAACAAAUUAAAAAAUAAAAGAAAGAAAGAAAAUGAAAGAAAGAAAAAGAAAACUUCUGAGCUCUUUUGCUUUACAUUUCCACACAGGAAGGUAAAGAAUUCGGUUCUGUCUUCUGAUUGGUUGGUCGUACUUCCGGGUGUAACCUUAAUCGACGUUGAAAUGGGGAAAAAUAGUUUCCAGUGUUAUGUCGUUCAUCCAGCAAACGGCAAUAUCCGAAGAUUAAAAAAACCGUCGUUGAAAACGUUAAUUUGUUUAAAUUAAUCCUUAUUUAGAUUUAAAAAGUCGGAAAUCCAGUACUGCUUUGUUCACAAAUCCUUCAGUCGAUGUCUUUCUCUGCCUUCGUCUCGCUAUUUUCACCUUCAACAUUGUUGGACAUUACAUCACCG